UACGUAGGGGGCCAGCGUUGCUCGGAUUUACUGGGCGUAAAGGGUUCGUAGGUGGUGCGGUACGUUGGAAGUGAAAUCUCUGGGCUUAACCCAGAGGCUGCUUUCAAAACUGUCGCGCUCGAGUGCGAGAGAGGUCAGUGGAAGUGCAGGUGUAGCGGUGAAAUGCGUAGAUAGCUGCAGGAACACCCGUGGCGAAGGCGGCUGACUGGAUCGCAACUGACACUGAGGAACGAAAGCGAGGGGAGCAAACAGG
rnacentral:rRNA from 1 species